ensembl:lncRNA
UGGGUCCUCAUCGCUCCAGAUCUGCUGCUUUCAAAUCGUAUCUGCUAAAUCACUCCCUGAGAGUUCAGACCGCUUUCAUCAACAUGAAACAAAUAAGUAAGGAUGACUCCUAUUCUGCACAUCAUGGACCUGACACGAAGCCUAAACUGCAGCGGUCCUUAACUGUAGGAGAUGCAGAAAAAGUACCAGGUAUGAAAUGCAACCGAUCAAAGUCUAUGAUCUUCAGCUCCCCUCUACAGCCUGGCAGCACUGAAUUGGUUAAUGAAGAAGGAACCGGAAAAGGGUCACAUGCAGAAAUGUAAGAGUACAUGCUUCUGGCCUCUGUUCCCUGGCUGUGUAGAAGAAAAUCUGUUCACCUUAGUUUAGAAAGGAGUCAGCAACGUGAUGCUGUUGUAAAUAAGACUAUGUGUACAGUGGGCUGUAAUAAUAAGUAUAUUACAUAUAGGGGAAGCAACCUGCUCUAUGUCAGUUAGAUCUCUGUUAGAACAUUGAUUUCGUUGCAGGACACCCCAUUUUUAAAGAGAGAUAAAGAAACAGCAGAGAAUUCAGAGGAGAGCAGCAGCAAUGAAGGAUAAAAGUCAGAGGGAAGCUUAAGAGAAAUUAGCAUGUUUAGUCUGAAAAAGGCAGAGGGAAAAAUGCUGUAAGUGCAAGUACAAAAACGGAUAUUUAAAAAAAGAAUAGGGAUCAAUUAUUCUCUGGAGUCAGUGGGGACACAAUGAGCAGCAGGGAAGAUUUAGAUUAAAUGUUAAGAAAAACUUUAUAA